ensembl:lncRNA
UUGCCCUUAUGAUAAUUCCAUUGUCCGGCAAUCGUUACAAAUUUGGUCCCAAUUUCGAACCCAUUUUGGCCUUCAGCACUUACCAGUGGUUUCAACUAUGAAUUGCAACCCUUUAUUCCCUCCUUCACUUAAUGACAAGGCAUUUAAUAUUUGGCAGAGAGCAGGGAUUUCAGUUGUCAAUGAUAUUUACAUUGAAAAUGUUUUUCCCUGCUUUUCUCAGUUGAAACAAAAAUUCUCUCUCUCUCUAGUGCACAAUUUUUUAGAUAUUUGCAGCUCCAAAAUUUUGUUAAAAACUCAUUCCCUGAUUUUCUGAAUCUUCCUCCAAAAUCUUUGCUUGAUCAGAUUCUUGAAGCAGCCUUAGAUAAAAAGGGUGUUUUGUCUACGCUUUACAGGCUGAUUUCCUCCAUUUCCACUUCCUCUCUUUUAUUAAACAAGCUAAAAAAAGCUUUAAAAAAAACAGAACUACAUCGACCCCAACAAAAUCAAGCGUUUAGGACACAAAACUAGAGCGCAAUGUGUCAUAUUACUUUGAGAUCUACACCCACUAGAGGGAAACGUAAUCGGCAACAGGAAACUUUCAUUAUUUUUUAUCCAUGUCAAAGGAUUAUUUCACCACCAUUUGUGAAUCUGAGAGGAGGAGAUAUAUUAAGAAACAAAAUUUUAUUGGUCUAUGUCAGUGCCCCUUUUCCUAACCUUCCUUUUGUUUGAGAAAUGAUACAAAUGAACGGCCCAAUGUAAAAAUACCCUGACAUCAACUAUUUGUGUCCUAAAUGCUUGUUUUUUUUAGGUCAACAGCUUAUAAAAAUGUAGUUCUGGGUAUUUUAGCUAGUUUACUGUACACUUUGUCACAGAAGCUUUUAGGCAUUGCUCUGUUUUUUGUUAUAAGUCAGAAAUUACAAGAAGGCAGCUUCCCGCAAUAGAAAGUCAAUGGAGAGCAUUGGAUUGUUUCCCCCCCCGGUGGGCGUGGUUUUCAGAUUAUGACGCGUGUCACUCUGUCUCUAUUGCUAACUCCCUCUACCCAGCUGGCUUUACUUAAGGCAGGGGAAACCUAAAACACCCUAGCACCAAUAGUGGUAAGAAAACAGGAAGAAAACUGCCCACAAUAUUCUUAUUAACAGGCUCAUGUCUGUUACACCUCAAAUAUGGCUGUGAGAACCACUUUACUGCAGAGUUUAGCUCCAACUUUGAUCAAACCCAUCUGCGAUUUUCUAA